UAAAAGAUAGGAAUUCUGUUAUGAGCUAUUCAACAUCCAUUCAUAUAAUUUUAACAUGAGAUGAAAUGGUGUAUCAAGCAGUAUAAAGGUUCAUCUCUAGUGUUGAAGUACAGAAGAAAACCAGCAUAUUUUUCAGAGCUUCAUUUUAGUAUUGUGAACUUUGCAUUUCAAUUGGUAUUAAAAUAUGCAUUUAGUACCCCUGGCACCCGCCCUGGUGAUGUGGUGGCUGUGUCACAGCGGCAGAAUGUUGGCUGUGGCCCAUGUCACAGACGACACAGCCACCCAGGAUGGAGGUGAGGAGCAGGUGAGCAAGGGCUGAGGUGGGGAGGGGGACAAGGAUGGGGAGGGCUGAGCCCAGGCAGGAAGACAGGGGUUGUCCCUGGUGGGACAGGUGGUGGCUGUUCCUUUUUCAUCCUCUAGAGCUGGAGGCUCACGCAGGGACAUGACCAGACCAUGGCGCACUCUUGUCCUCAGCCACUCAGAUGAAGGGAUUUGCUGCUUUCUACAAGGACACCGACAUCCAGAUAAAGCAUCAAAAAUAUUAUCUCUGGGCACCAACUCCAGUGAUGCAGUGCCCCUGUCACAGCGGGCAGCAGGCUGUCGGUGGCCCACAUCAUUGUGGGUGUGUGACAUGGCCACCCCAGGAUGGAUGUCUGACAGCCACCAGGGAGACGUGGGACUGACAGCCUUGGCCUGAGGCAGGGAGAGCCCCGGACAGGGGCAGGGGCUGCCCAAGGUGACUGAGGGUGGCUGCUCCCUGUGCUUGUCGGCCACAGGCAGUGAGUGAUGUAGCCAGGGAAAGAGAGGAAAUCAACUCAUUUACAUGGUAUCGGCUGCUGAUCUCUGAAUCAGGCAAAGUCCCAAGUGGCAGAGGUUCUUCCCUUGGAGUGAUUGAACAUGAUCAGAAGGUCUUGUUUGACCAGUGUGAUCUGGGGGAGCCCUGCUUCAGAGUACUUCAGCACCAAUGGAAUUUUUGAUCAUUUUGUCCAACGUCUCUGAAAUCAUGUAGACAACACAAAUGACUUCUGAAAGUUUUCACCUGUAAUCUUUGCAGCUAAAAUAUUUAAAACCUAAUAAUC